rnacentral:tRNA from 2 species
GCCAGCGUGACGGAAUUGGUAGACGUAUCGCUACAGCGGCGACGGGUGCGGGUUCGAUCCCCUGCCGCUGGCA